rnacentral:tRNA from 2 species
AGGGCGUAGGCCAGGCAGAUGGCCUCGCCGGUCCAGCCCGGCGUCCGGUGCAGGAAGGCGAAGGAGCCCGGCCGCUCCAGAUCGGCCUCGCCGCGCC